rnacentral:lncRNA from 1 species
UCCUUCUGGGUCUCCUCCACUGGGACCUGAGGUCCAGAGCGCGGCUUCCCUGCGGGUGGCGCGAUGGGUUGCGGGAACUCCACGGCCACCAGCGCGGCCGCGGGCCGAGGUCCAACAGGAGCAGUUAAAGACACGUGAGUACUUGACAUUUUGGUAUUAUAACCUCUGUCUCUGAGAAAAGCUGUUUUUUGUGGUUCUGACUUUUAGGAGUCUAGGCGUGGCUGACAAGACACAGGAGACUUUCUGUGCUGUGCGCUUGUAAAUGUUACCAUUUGAUUGACAGCUAAGCUACUAUUUGAAGGAUGUUAGCAUUUGCAACUUUCCCUGUUAGCCCUUCAGUUACCCUGGCAUGCUAGCUUAGAGUGUUUAAUAAGAAUCUGUUUCUCUUUCCACCCCAACCUGUGCAGAGAUUGAGUUAGCAACAGCGGUCGUAGGGGAGCCUGACACGUGGGGCCUGGGACCCUCCUGUGUCUCAAAACUAUCCAGGGAGGAAACUGGAGCCGAGCCUACACUCAUUUAUUCCUGUGGCAAUACCUCGAUAUUCCUAGAUACUCACGGGAAUGCCGUGGCCGUUUUCGGCAGCAUGAGGGGAUCUUCCUGAACGUCAUGUGUUGGAAAGGCAACCCCAGACCCCUCUGUUGAUACUUUGAGCUUUUUGGAGGUAAUUUGGGUUCAUCAUGAUGGCAGAGCCCCCAUGAUGGCAUUAGUGGAUUUCUAAGAAGGGGAAGAGAGACCAAACAAGUGUGUUUGCUUGUGUCUCCAUGUCCUCUGCCGUAUGCUGGCACAGCACGAAGGCCCCUAGCAGACGCAGAGUGUGUGCCGCAUUGGUCUUCACAGCCUCCAGAACCACAACCCAAAUAUCCUCUCUCCUUUGCCGAUUCCCUGGUCUCAGGUGUUUUGUUAUAGCCAUAGAAACUAUAUCAAGACAUCCUUCCUUAUAACCCAUGUUGAACUGAACUGUAGCCUGAGGAUUUCCUAAUCAGGCGUCUCUACAGGAGGUUUCCUACGCUCAGGGAUGCCGUCCGUGUCUCCAUGCCAUCCCUCUGCAUUCUAUCUGUAAUCCAGAUCUAAUAAGGCCUGUAUCGGAGCCCACGACCUCAGGGGUUUCUAGUCACUGAGCUGUGGUAGUUUGAUUUCUGUUGCUGUGAUAAAAUACCCUGAUAAAAACAAUGUAUAGGAGAAAGGGAAGAUACGGCCGCAGGAGGGGAAGGCAGGCGGUUGGAACCUGCCUGAUCACAUUGCAUCAGCUCCCAGAAAGUAGAACCUGAAGUGAGCGGGAGGGCACAACCCCCCAGGCUGGCGCUUCCUCCAGUAAGGCUCCACCUCCUAAAAGUUCCGAAACCUUCCCAAACAGCAUCCCCAGUUAGGGACCACAUGUGCAAACGCGUGGACCCCUAGGGGACACUUCAGGCAUCACAUUCAAACCAUAACCAUGGAGGUUGGGAUUAACCCUUCCUGUCCCUCCAUUAGUUAGAUGCUGAGGCCAUACGGUGUCAAGAGAGCAUGAAAAGAUUUGUCACUUACUUGGUGAGGCUUUCUGGGGAGAGCGAGGGUUGCACCCAAAGUGGUCGGCGGCUUAGAUUGGGUGGGGGAUGGGCGUGCCUUUGGUUUGUAUCACGGUUGGGUAAUGGGUUAGGGCAAGGGAUUUUCCACAAGGAUGGGGCUGGACCUUACCGGGAAGGCAGGCUUUUGUACAGCUUGUGUGGCUAUCAGGCUGAAGGGGGAGCGGGGAGGAUCUGAGUGCUGUCAGUGCUCCAGUAUUAAAAAUAGAAACAGACUCUUUUUUUUUUUUUUAAGUCACAAAGAAGAAUUCAGAGAAGACUACAGUGUUGUAAAGUUUUCAGGGAAUUAAAUAACCAUUUCAAGUGACAGUUUUGGGGACAAAAGCAGUAAUCACUUGCUUCAAAUUCCUGAUGGAGCUCUUGAGUUUCCAGUGGUUUCUGGAAUGGCCCUGAACACACUUCUGCCCUUGUAAACUGUGUAUUAAGUGAAGUGGCCAUUUUAAGUGGCGUUUAUUAUUAUAAAGUAAAAUACUUUAAACCGACAACUGUUGAGGACGCUGGAUGUCCUGCAGUAUAAGAUACGGAGCCAAAAUGUAGUUUUGGUUUUUAUUUUUGCUUGAUAGGUUAUUUUUUGUUGUUGUUGUUUUUAAAUUGGAUAUUUUAUUUAUUUACAUUUCAAAUGUUAUCCCCUUUCCCGGUUCUCCCUCUGCAAACUGUGGGUAUACGCGCACACACACACACACAUGAUGACACACAAGUGCCAGUCCAAAUACAACUUGUAGUAGCUCGUUCUCUCCUUGUACCAUGUCAGCCUUGAGGAUCAAACUCAGGUCAUCAGGUUUAUCUGUAAGCACCUUUAUCCACUGAGCCAUGUCCCUGACCCAAGAUUUGACUUCUUAGG